AAGGUACAUACGGGGGUAUUGCUGUACUCAGCCGACAUAGCUGAGCAACAUAUGAAGUAUUAUACAGUCGUAGCACACAUAAGGUUUGCAAAAUAUACUGUGCAAACUCACUUUGUGUGUCAAAAAGGCAGAAAAAACACUUAUUACCACUACACUUGGUACAAGCUAGCGGAAAAAUGAUCCCACGCUAAGGUUCAAAAUAUACCUUUUGAAAUACCCUGGGAUGUCUUCUUUAAGAAAUGGUAUGGCUUUAUGGGGAAUUUGGAUUAUAUAGCCUGGGAAAAUACUCUAAAAUGGGACAUAGGCACAGCAUAAAAAUUCAAAGUUUGAAAAAAACUGGAAUGGCUGUGUCCCAAAUGUGCCCCUCCGAUGUCCACACAUACCUGGCAAAGGUACAUACGGGGGUAUUGCUGUACUCAGCC